rnacentral:rRNA from 1 species
CAUGCAGUCGAACGGCAGCACGGACUUCGGUCUGGUGGCGAGUGGCGAACGGGUGAGUAAUGUAUCGGAACGUGCCCAGUAGCGGGGGAUAACUACGCGAAAGCGUAGCUAAUACCGCAUACGCCCUACGGGGGAAAGCAGGGGAUCGCAAGACCUUGCACUAUUGGAGCGGCCGAUAUCGGAUUAGCUAGUUGGUGGGGUAACGGCUCACCAAGGCGACGAUCCGUAGCUGGUUUGAGAGGACGACCAGCCACACUGGGACUGAGACACGGCCCAGACUCCUACGGGAGGCAGCAGUGGGGAAUUUUGGACAAUGGGGGAAACCCUGAUCCAGCCAUCCCGCGUGUGCGAUGAAGGCCUUCGGGUUGUAAAGCACUUUUGGCAGGAAAGAAACGUCAUGGGCUAAUACCCCGUGAAACUGACGGUACCUGCAGAAUAAGCACCGGCUAACUACGUGCCAGCAGCCGCGGUAAUACGUAGGGUGCAAGCGUUAAUCGGAAUUACUGGGCGUAAAGCGUGCGCAGGCGGUUCGGAAAGAAAGAUGUGAAAUCCCAGAGCUUAACUUUGGAACUGCAUUUUUAACUACCGAGCUAGAGUGUGUCAGAGGGAGGUGGAAUUCCGCGUGUAGCAGUGAAAUGCGUAGAUAUGCGGAGGAACACCGAUGGCGAAGGCAGCCUCCUGGGAUAACACUGACGCUCAU